GAGUUUGAUUAUGGCUCAGAUUGAACGCUGGCGGCAUGCUUUACACAUGCAAGUCGAACGGCAGCGGGGAAGUGCUUGCACUUCUGCCGGCGAGUGGCGAACGGGUGAGUAAUGCAUUGGAACGUACCGGGUAAUGGGGGAUAACUUGCCGAAAGGUAAGCUAAUACCGCAUACGCUCUUAGGAGGAAAGCGGGGGAUCGUUUGACCUCGCGUUAUCCGAGCGGCCAAUGUCUGAUUAGCUAGUUGGUGGGGUAAAAGCCUACCAAGGCAACGAUCAGUAGCGGGUCUGAGAGGAUGAUCCGCCACACUGGGACUGAGACACGGCCCAGACUCCUACGGGAGGCAGCAGUGGGGAAUUUUGGACAAUGGGCGCAAGCCUGAUCCAGCCAUGCCGCGUGUCUGAAGAAGGCCUUCGGGUUGUAAAGGACUUUUGUACGGGAAGAAAAAGUUGUGGUUAAUACCCAUGACUGA
rnacentral:rRNA from 1 species